GAUGAACUCUUGCUACAGGCUUAACACAUGCAAGUCGAGGGGCAGCAUGGUCUUAUCUUGCUAAGGCCGAUGGCGACCGGCGCACGGGUGAGUAACACGUAUCCAACCUGCCGUCUUCUCUUGGACAGCCUUCUGAAAGGAAGAUUAAUACAAGAUGGCAUCAUGAGUCCGCAUGUUCACAUGAUUAAAGGUAUUCCGGUAGACGAUGGGGAUGCGUUCCAUUAGAUAGUAGGCGGGGUAACGGCCCACCUAGUCUUCGAUGGAUAGGGGUUCUGAGAGGAAGGCCCCCCACAUUGGAACUGAGACACGGUCCAAACUCCUACGGGAGGCAGCAGUGAGGAAUAUUGGUCAAUGGGCGCAGGCCUGAACCAGCCAAGUAGCGUGAAGGAUGACUGCCCUAUGGGUUGUAAACUUCUUUUAUAAAGGAAUAAAGUCGGGUAUGGAUACCCGUUUGCAUGUACUUUAUGAAUAAGGAUCGGCUAACUCCGUGCCAGCAGCCGCGGUAAUACGGAGGAUCCGAGCGUUAUCCGGAUUUAUUGGGUUUAAAGGGAGCGUAGAUGGAUGUUUAAGUCAGUUGUGAAAGUUUGCGGCUCAACCGUAAAAUUGCAGUUGAUACUGGAUAUCUUGAGUGCAGUUGAGGCAGGCGGAAUUCGUGGUGUAGCGGUGAAAUGCUUAGAUAUCACGAAGAACUCCGAUUGCGAAGGCAGCCUGCUAAGCUGCAACUGACAUUGAGGCUCGAAAGUGUGGGUAUCAAACAGGAUUAGAUACCCUGGUAGUCCACACGGUAAACGAUGAAUACUCGCUGUUUGCGAUAUACGGCAAGCGGCCAAGCGAAAGCGUUAAGUAUUCCACCUGGGGAGUACGCCGGCAACGGUGAAACUCAAAGGAAUUGACGGGGGCCCGCACAAGCGGAGGAACAUGUGGUUUAAUUCGAUGAUACGCGAGGAACCUACCCGGGCUUAAAUUGCAGAUGAAUUACGGUGAAAGCCGUAAGCCGCAAGGCAUCUGUGAAGGUGCUGCAUGGUUGUCGUCAGCUCGUGCCGUGAGGUGUCGGCUUAAGUGCCAUAACGAGCGCAACCCUUGUUGUCAGUUACUAACAGGUUCUGCUGAGGACUCUGACAAGACUGCCAUCGUAAGAUGUGAGGAAGGUGGGGAUGACGUCAAAUCAGCACGGCCCUUACGUCCGGGGCUACACACGUGUUACAAUGGGGGGUACAGAGGGCCGCUACCACGCGAGUGGGUG
rnacentral:rRNA from 1 species